rnacentral:rRNA from 1 species
UACAGAGGGGGCAAGCGUUGUUUGGAAUUACUGGGCGUAAAGGGCGCGUAGGCGGCCUUCUAAGUCGAACGUGAAAUCCCCGGGCUCAACCCGGGAACUGCGUCCGAUACUGGAAGGCUUGAAUCCGGGAGAGGGAUGUGGAAUUCCAGGUGUAGCGGUGAAAUGCGUAGAUAUCUGGAGGAACACCGGUGGCGAAGGCGACUUCCUGGCCUGUUCUUGACGCUGAGGCGCGAAAGCUAGGGUAGCAAACGGG